CCUUCACACGUGUAGACAAAGGGACCCAUCAACACAACCCAAAUCUGCACUGGAAAAGUUUUCCCGUGCGCGCGACUCCACGCCAGGACCUCGCGAGGCGCUCAGGUGAGACUGUUUUAAACGGACGUCCUUUCAAGGAUUUAUUUCAUUAUUUUCUGCUGUGGGAUAUUACUUUCCUCCGGGAUUAUUGGACUGGCCAUAAUGAGAAUUAUUACUUUCCACUUCUAGAAACAAUGGAGAAACUAAAGAUCAGAUCUUCUGCAGUGGUGAUGAGAGGAACAGGAUGAUUUGCUCAAGAGGAGUCGUCUGGCAUGAGGGGUUCAGGGUGUUUUCUCAGCUCUUGUUGACUGAUCAAGAGAAGCAGAAGCACUUCACGCUUGUGUUUUUGUGAUCUGCUGGCAGUUUGCUCACAUCCCACGCUCUGAGGCAGGCGUUCUAGCACUGAUCCAGGACCAGCCUCUGCAGACCCACCACAAGCAUCUGAAAGAGCGUGGAGCUGACUUCAGAUCAGCAGCUGAUGUGAUCUCAGACGCAGAUAAUCAAGUGUCUUCCUGAGGAAGAAGCACGGCUAACAGUGUGGCACGAGGGUCUCCUCCAGCCGGAUGUUUGCAGCGCUCAGUCGCACACCUGCAGUGGGAUGCAGGCGACACGUUCAGCAUGACGAUGUUUACUGGGCCUGCUGCGGUAGAGAUCUGCUGCUGAAGUGAGACAUAUGGCUCUCUUCCAGAGGAUGCAUUUUGAAAUAUUUUGUGAAAGGAGAGCACUGGUGUGUGAGAACCUGUACAGACCAGACUCUUCAUGCCGGUCCAGGUGGGCUGCUGCUCUUAUGGUUGGUUUGAAGUGGGUUUUGUUGGUUUACCCACACAAUGCAUAAUGUUCACCAGCAAAACAGGAUCGAUGAUGCAGCAAGACUAAUUCAAGUAAACAACAACUCAGACACUUGAUAGCAUUACUUUGUCACAUCACAUUCAAACUUGAAAUGACCUGAAAAUAUAUAUACUUGAGUGUUUUUUAGUGUAAAGUAAGUUCGAUCAAAAUAAAGACACAUUUCAGUGUCUGCAGUGUUUGCUGAGCUUUGAUGACUGAUGAUCCGAUUAUUAAAAAUAAUAACCGAACAUUAGUUUACAAGCUAGAUAUGCAUGCAUUUUAUUUACUUUGUUAAGUCAUUAUUUGGGAAUUCAUGUAAAGAAUAUUAUUUAUACUUGAGUUUAGAACAUAUCUAUUACAGUGUAAACAUACAAAAUACAAUAGUUUUGUUUGUUUUUUGAGUGUAAGUAAUGUUUAACCUGGAAAAUGUCUUAUGAGUGUAACUGGAACACAAAUUGACAUUGA